GGGCCUGUAGCUCAGUUGGCAGAGCAUCGGACUUUUAAUCCGCGGGUCGUGGGUUCGAGCCCCACCGGGCCCACCG
rnacentral:tRNA from 2 species